CGGAAAGAGAGGGAUCGAC
rnacentral:tRNA from 2 species